UACAUCUUCCAAAAAAAAAACCCUAUUUUCUUUCCCACCAUUUUCUUCUAAUCCAAAAUUUCAAGAAAACAUCAAUGUUCUCUUCUUCUAUUUCAUCACAACCAUUUCAAAAAAAAUAUUGAAAUAUGUUUGGGUAAGCUUCAUACAACAUAAAGAAAGCUUGAGAAUUGAUUGAAGCUUCAUUUUGCCACUGGUGCUUUUUGGGGAUCCUAUCAUCUGGAACGAGAUGUUGAGUGCACUGCUCUAAGUACCAGAUCCUAUGGGAAGAUGUAGGUUGUGGAUUUAAUUAGUAAGGAUUCAUUUUAUAAAUUGAAGUGAAGUGAAGUUUGGUGGUUCAUUAAAAGAGGUAUGUACAAUCACUCAUUUCUUUGCUUAACGCCAUAAUAUUGUUCAUCUUAAAAGAGUUUGAAUAUCUUAAAUAUUCAUCCAUAGUGAAGUAGGUUUUGAGAUUAAGUGUGUUGCGAUGAUAAUGGAAGGUUGAAACUUAUGUGUUGUAGUGAAGUAGGUUCUGGGAAAUUUGUGUGCUGCGGAGAUAUAAGGAAGAAACUUAUUGUGUGAUAUUUUUUAUUUGUAGAUAUAAUAGUUACUUAUGAAAGUAGAAAAUGUUAUAGAAACAGAGGAAACUCUGUCCAAUUUUUAAUUAUGUUUAUUCUGUGUUGUU